rnacentral:rRNA from 1 species
GAUGAACGCUGGCGGCGUGCCUAAUACAUGCAAGUCGAGCGAACAGAUAAGGAGCUUGCUCCUUUGACGUUAGCGGCGGACGGGUGAGUAACACGUGGAUAACCUACCUAUAAGACUGGGAUAACUUCGGGAAACCGGAGCUAAUACCGGAUAACAUAUUGAACCGCAUGGUUCAAUAGUGAAAGGCGGCUUUGCUGUCACUUAUAGAUGGAUCCGCGCCGUAUUAGCUAGUUGGUAAGGUAACGGCUUACCAAGGCAACGAUACGUAGCCGACCUG